rnacentral:rRNA from 1 species
UACGGAGGGGGCUAGCGUUGUUCGGAAUUACUGGGCGUAAAGAGCGUGUAGGCGGCCAGAUAAGUCCGCUGUGAAAUCUCGAGGCUCAACUUCGAGCUGUCGGUGGAAACUAUCUGGCUAGAGUCCGGAAGAGGAGAAUGGAAUUCCUGGUGUAGCGGUGAAAUGCGCAGAUAUCAGGAAGAACACCCGUGGCGAAGGCGGUUCUCUGGGACGGUACUGACGCUGAGACGCGAAAGCGUGGGGAGCGAACAGG